rnacentral:rRNA from 1 species
CCGCCGCUGCUAAAGCGGAGGAAGAGUGGGCAACGGUAGGUCAGUAUGCCCCGAAUAUCCCGGGCUACACGCGAGCUACAAUGGUUGGUACAAUGGGUAUCUACCCCGAAAGGGGACCGGGAAUCUCCUAAAACCAAUCUUAGUUCGGAUUGAGGGCUGCAACUCGCCCUCAUGAAGCUGGAAUCCGUAGUAAUCGCGUUUCAACAGAACGCGGUGAAUACGUCCCUGCUCCUU